rnacentral:rRNA from 1 species
CUUAGAAGCAGCCACCUUUAAAGAGUGCGUAAUAGCUCACUGGUCAAGUGGUCCUGCGCCGAAAAUUCAACGGGGCUAAAGCCUGGUACCGAAGCUGCGGAGUGGUCUUUGGACCACUGGUAGGGGAGCGUUCCGUCGAGCGUAGAAGCCUGACCGUGAGGACAGGUGGAGCGGACGGAAGUGCGAAUGCCGGCAUGAGUAGCGAAAAACGCGUGAGAAACGUGUUCGCCGUAAGUCUAAGGUUUCCGACGGAAGGUUAAUCCGCGUCGGGUUAGUCGGGCCUAAGCCGAGGCCGAGAGGCGUAGGCGAUGGACAUCCGGUUAAUAUUCCGGAACUACGUCGAGUCGAUAAAGACGCAAUGGGGGACGCAGGAGGGUAGGUCAGCCUGUUACUGGAUUCAGGUGCUAAACCGGUAGGGAGAUGAGGGUCGUAGGCAAAUCCGCGACCUGAUCCUGAGAGGUGACGGCGGGCCCCGCGAGGGGCCAGA